UUUAAAAAGAACAACAAAGGACGAAGUCGAGGAGAAACUUUCCGUUUAUCACGUAUAUUUAUGGUAUGUAGAUUUUUUUAAUGUGGCUAUCACGGUUUUUCAUAUUUAUGAAUUGUGUUUUUAAACUCUGAAUUGGUAUCCAUAUUGCACAAUUAGAGAAAAAUAUAACUAUUCCAGAAAACAGAUCAGCACAUGGCCAUCGUAAAUAAAUUUUUUAUAAACAUAUUGAUUCCUCCAAUUGUACUAUUUUUAAGAGCAUUUAAUGUGGAAAGCAUAUUUAGUUUCAUUUUAAAGUUUAGGUAAAGAUUGUUACAAUUAUUAUGCUUAAAGAUUCAUAUAAGAAAAAGGGGGGAUAAGCAAGUGUUUUACAUUAUUUUGCUCAGGUAAAUUUCCCAACAUGUUUACUUUAUACUAUAUAUAUGCGAUUUUUUAGUUUAACCUUAAGGCUUGGUAAACCACAUACUUUUUGACGAUUAUAAACAAUAAAUUUCAACUUAACAACAAAGCAUCUAAUUUGCAUGUUCAUGUGAUGGAAAAUUGAUACUUAUUUUUACAAUAACAUUAAAAAUUCAACAAAAUAGUAUUAUUUCACGCUAUGAGAGGAUAACUUUGAAUAUGUUCAUUGAUAACUUUUUACCUAAUUAACUUCUACAAAAGUCAUUCUAUUUUAAAACAAGUCAGUUUCUACGCUUACUGAUCUUCAGGUGAUCUCUAACUCUGUGUAAUAUGAGAAAUGCAUGUUUACAUUAAUGUGUACGUAACCUGGUUUUGAAUGUUAUAGCAGUCCAUUAUCUGAUAUCAUGAACAUGUAUUAUUUAUUUUACAGAAGCUUGUCAAACAGAUCAAUGGCUAAAAGGCAUCAAGUGGAGCAAAAUUAAAAUUCAGUUUUGGGAAUUCCAGUCUUUAAAAUCAUCAAAGGUAGGUUUUUUGUCUGUAUAGCUAUAUACCAUUUGUGUUCAAAGAUUAAUCUUUUGUUUAUUCUAAUUUUGUUUAACUUUACAUACCAUAUUAUGUUUGUCUUUAUAUCUAAGCUAUUCUAGUAAAGCUCUUUAUUUUAUGUUAAUGGAAUUGUGCAGUCAUCAAUAAAAAAAAAAACGUCAUACUUAGGUAAAGUGUUUUCAUUGUUAUAUCAAUAACAUAGUGGAACCCGCAGUCUUACAAAACUCAGGUUGAAGCUUCUUCAUUAACAAAAAACUACUAAUAGUAAACAUUAAUGUACAUAUUAUUUUUAUUAAUGAUUGACUUAUCUCAAUAUGUCGUCAUUAUGGUUUUAUUUAUUUCAAUGCUUUUAGAAACAAAUUUGAAAGUGGCUCAAAUUUAAAAUAUCUUUUCAGGACAUACAAUUUAUAUUUAUUAUAUAUAUAUAAUCUGAUUUUUUUCAGAGUUUAAAUAUACUGCAAGAGUAAAAAGAUGUCACUUGGAAAUACAUAUCUGAUAAAGACCUCUCCUGCUUAAAAUUUACCGCUGAAAGAUCCCGAGGUGGUGGACGAAUGAUGACAUGCAAUAAGGACAAAAAGAGACAAAUAUAACAAAUGAAUUUAUAAAAUAAAUCUUGUAUCAAAAGAAA
rnacentral:lncRNA from 1 species